UACGUAGGGUGCGAGCGUUAAUCGGAAUUACUGGGCGUAAAGCGUGCGCAGGCGGUUCGUUGUGUCGGCGGUGAAAGCCCCGGGCUCAACCUGGGAAUGGCCGUUGAAACUGGCGAACUGGAGUGUGGAAGAGGUGAGUGGAAUUCCGAGUGUAGAGGUGAAAUUCGUAGAUAUUCGGAGGAACACCAGUGGCGAAGGCGGCUCACUGGUCCAUUACUGACGCUGAGGUGCGAAAGCGUGGGGAGCAAACAGG
rnacentral:rRNA from 1 species